AACGAACGCUGGCGGCAUGCCUAACACAUGCAAGUCGAACGAGACCUUCGGGUCUAGUGGCGCAUGGGUGCGUAACGCGUGGGAAUCUGCCCUUGGGUUCGGAAUAACAGUGAGAAAUUACUGCUAAUACCGGAUGAUGUAUUCGGACCAAAGAUUUAUCGCCCAGGGAGGAGCCCGCGUAGGAUUAGCUUGUUGGUGGGGUAAUGGGCUACCAAGGCGACGAUCCUUAGAUGGUCUGAGAGGAAGAUCAGCCACACUGGGACUGAGACACGGCCCAGACUCCUACGGGAGGCAGCAGUGGGGAAUACUGGACAACGGGCGCAAGGCUGAAGCAGCAAUGCCGCUUGAGUGAUGAAGGCCGGAGGGUAGUAAAGCUCUUUUACCCGGGAUGAUAAUGACGGUACCGGGAGAAUAAGCACCGGCUAACUCCGUG
rnacentral:rRNA from 1 species